rnacentral:rRNA from 1 species
GAUGAACGCUGGCGGCGUGCCUAAUACAUGCAAGUCGAGCGAACGGACGAGAUGCUUGCUUCUCUGAUGUUAGCGGCGGACGGGUGAGUAACAAGUGGAUAACCUACCUAUAAGACUGGGCUAACUUCGGGAAACCGGAGAUAAUACCGGAUAAUAUUUUGAACCGCAUGGUUCAAAAGUGAAAGACGGUCUUGCUGUCACUUAUAGAUGGAUCCGCGCUGCAUUAGCUAGUUGGUAAGGUAACGGCUUACCAAGGCAACGAUGCAUAGCCGACCUGAGAGGGUGAGCGGCCACGCUGGAACUGAGACACGGUCCAGACUCCUACGGGAGGCAGCAGUAGGGAAUCUGCCGCAAUGGGCGAAAGCCUGACGGAGCAGCGCCGCGUGAGUGAUGAAGGUCUUCGGAUCGUAAAACUCUGUUAUUAGGGAAGAACAUAUGUGUAAGUAACUGUGCACAUCUUGACGGUACCUAAUCAGAAAGCCACGGCUAACUACGUG